CGCGCGCGUCAGCCGGCUGCGGCGAGCGGCAGCGAAGCCGAUCGGGUUCAACGCGUGCGUGCGUCAGGUCUUAGCUUUAGUUGCAGGCUUGUAGCCUUGCCCUAGCGACCAACCAACCAUCAACUACCUUGUUAAAUUCGCAUCGAGCCGUGCCUGCCACCAUUGCACAAGCUUUUACCCUUCUCUCCAGACCCAAGUCGUGUCUUGCGCCGCGACGCCAUUGACAAGACCAAGCUUUUUCCACGGCUCGUCUCGCGCAGAUGGAGAGGGCGAGCUGCCGGAACAACCGGUGCUGUGACUGUGAGGACUAGAGAAUAGAGAUGCAAGGGAACACUGCUUGUUCACAUGCAUCUGAAAGAAACACAGCACGAGAUUGCCGGCCCUUUGGAAGAACAUGUCAGCACCGGUUGGUGUUCGGCACAACAGGGAGCAUCAGGUUGUCAGGAGAUGUGAAUGGGCCCAACGACCAACGUGCUGUGUCAAGGCCCAGGAGGAAGAACACAAGAGCUCUUUGGGUCGGAAUGGGUUUACACUUUACAGGCAAGAGUGGCGUGUAUGUAUCGAGAGAGGGAGAGCAAUAACUUGUGACGUCAUCUGAA